ACUCCUUGUUCUACUCUUUACCCCCUUCUCACUACUGCACUUGACUAGUCUUU
rnacentral:scRNA from 1 species